rnacentral:lncRNA from 1 species
GAUGUUUUUGUUACCCAAUAUGCCUAUGCUUAGAGCUUGAAGUGAAAAAAGGGGGAACAUAUUGUACCUGGACGAGACGCUAACAACAGAAGGUCAAUGAAAGAGCUUUUUAAUGACAAACUUCACGUGCUGAAGAAACCUUCAAUGAGAUCACCGCCGCAAAUAAGUAUGCGUCUGCAAAAGAAACAGAGGCAGCUUCUAGCGUACCACGACGGAAAAUCUACGGCAGAGAAAAAAUAGUAUGGGUUCCAGUAUAAACGACAAAUUGCUACUCUCCAAAGGCAUAGCUUCCGCCGGGUCAAUUAGAAUUCGUGCAAAAUAUCAGGCAACGCGUCUACACUGUGAAACGUCUCCGCUGUAAUCAUCGUAUCUGUUGGCAGAUUGCGUAAAAGCUCGCGCGCACGUCGCCGUCGCCUGCAUUGGCGGGCGUCGUCUAUUUGUUGAUGUUGUUGUGAAGUCGUCAUAUCGUGAAUACAAGCUCAAUGUGAAAUCCGUAGAAAGCAGCCUGGUAAUGAUAGAUCCGAAGGUAGCAAACUGCAACAACUCUACCGCGCUCAUCGUCCGCUUCCUUUCGGCGGUAGGCAAUGCUUUUUAAUGCGACAGCUUAGUCUUGGUUUCGGCAGAAUUCCGAAAAGAUCGAUGAGGUUCUGCACGAGGCUGUGAAACUGGCCAUGUGCAACAUUCAACUUUCCUAUUUUAACUAUUCAAGAAAUAAAAAUGCCACCACUCCACUGUUA